rnacentral:RNase_P_RNA from 1 species
AGUGGGAUGGGUGAUCGCGCCGCAAGGUGAGGAAAGUCCGGGCUUCACAGGGCAGGAUGCCGGAUAACGUCCGGUGGAGGUGACUCCAAGGCCAGUGCAACAGAGAUAUACCGCCAUAUCUUUGAUAUGGUAAGGGUGGAAAGGCAGUGUAAGAGACUACCAUAGAUAUGGUAACAUAUCUAGUUAUGUAAACCCCAUCCGAAGCAAGACUAAUUGAGAACCAUAGGCUUGCCCGGCCUGUUCUCAGGUAAGUCGCUUGAGAUUAGCGGUAACGCUGAUACCAGAUAGAUGAUCAUUCACGACAGAACCCGGCUUAUAGUCUCACUCA